CGGUGGCGGUGCCGGGGCGGGCAGCGGGCGGGCAGCAAUGCGGCAGCUCGGGGCAGGAUUUGCGGAGCGUUCCCCGAGACAAAGGCAGGUGGCUCCCAGCUGGGUUUUCAAUAAUUCCGCAGCUUUUCCUUUCGCAGGAAAUGGCUCCCGUGCCGCAGGGGGUCACCCGCCCGUGGCUGCCCCCCAGGAGCUUUGUGCGAACCCAACCCAGCGGCUCGCAGGGUGCUGGCGGUGCUGGGCUGCGGCCCUGCCCCUGCCCCUGCCCCUGCCCCUGCCCUGCCCGGGGAGGGCUCGGCCCCACCAGGGCCUGGUGCUGGUCCCGCUGGGCACGGUGUGGGUGUGGGGAUGUUUUCUGGCAGCGGGUCCUGCCUGGGCUGGUGGCUCCCGUGGGGGCAGGCAGCAGCCAGAGGCUGACCCCGCUGGGGUUUGCAGGGGGAGCCCGGCAGAGCGGGGCUGUGCCUGGUGCCCAGUGCCCGGCUCAGGGCUGGUGUGUGGAGGGAGUGCUGGGAGGACUGGGAGUGCUGGGAGGGCUCAGCCUGGUGCUGGUGGUGCCUUCGGAGGUGUGAGGCCGGGGGUGGCCGUGCCAUGCUCCACGUGGUGCCGUGGCUCACGCUCCCCUGGCUGGACCCAGUGCUGUGCUUGUGGCACCCGUCGUGGCUCCGUGCUGGAGAGCUCAGGGCUGGUGGGGCUGUGAAUCCCCUGUCCCUGCCCUGCGGGGUCACUGCUGUGUCCCGUGGCUGAGAGGAGUGGGGCGUGCAGCGCAUGGUGCCCCGUGCCGGUGCCUGAUGCGGGUGCUCUCUCCCCUCUCUCCCUCCUCUCCCUCCUCUCCCCUGUCCGCAGUGCUCAUGGAGUGCUGUGUGCGGCUCUGCCCCGCUCUCGGCAGCGGGACCGGCUCCACGCUGGGCACUGCCACCCCCUGUGCCCACCGAGGGAAUGGGACAGGCGAGUGCUGCCGGACAGAUCCGCAGCAAGGAGCUGGCGUGGGGCAGUUGCCGACACCGAAAGCCACGACGUGGCUGCAGACGGAGGCUGAGCUGCUCCCCUUCCCUGGUACCCCCCCCGGGACUGCUGAGCCCCCCAGCACGGAGCGAGGGGGCUGGACCAGCAGCGAGGGGACAGGGCCCACAGGGGGGCACGGAGCAGGCACUGGGGCAGGGCCCCCUCUGGCCACCGGUGCUGCCAAGGCAGCUGCAGGCAGCCAGGGGCCGUCUCCUGCCAGCCUGGGGAGGGGCCUUGGUGGGGGCCCCUCCGCAGCCCCCAUGGAACUGGACACAGCUCCAACCACCAGCCCUUCCCUCCGGACUGAGCCUGUAGGAGAUGAGAUGGUGGAAGGUGCCACAGCCCCGCUGGGGACCCUCCUGCAUUCACCAUCCUCUGUGACGGUGCCCAGCCCCGCUGGGGAGCACUGGGAGACCCCCAGUGCCCUGCCAGGACAGAGCCCCACACAGAGCCAGGGGGGCUCACACAGCUCCUUGCACCCAGAGCCGGGGGCCAGGGGGGGCCUGGGUGCCACCGCCCCGCUGGGUGACAGCAGCCCAGGGACGCACCAGAGCAGCGCAGCGGCCACGGGCAGCCCUGGGCCAGGGACAACGGGGACAUCGCCCUCUGGGGGGGGGGUACAGAGGUUACUGAGCUCCCUGGGGACACUGCGGG
rnacentral:lncRNA from 1 species